rnacentral:rRNA from 1 species
UCCUACGGGAGGCAGCAGUGAGGAAUAUUGGUCAAUGGGCUUACGCCUGAACCAGCCAAGUCGCGUGAGGGAAGACUGCCCUAUGGGUUGUAAACCUCUUUUGUCAGGGAGCAACGCCGGCUACGUGUAGCCGGACUGAGAGUACCUGAAGAAAAAGCAUCGGCUAACUCCGUGCCAGCAGCCGCGGUAAUACGGAGGAUGCGAGCGUUAUCCGGAUUUAUUGGGUUUAAAGGGUGCGUAGGCGGAAUGCCAAGUCAGCGGUAAAAUAGCGGGGCUCAACCUCGCCCCGCCGUUGAAACUGGCGU